AUGGAUCUCCCCGACGAGUUGCUCCACGAGGUCCUCCGGCGCGUCCCCCCGCGACGCCUCGCCGCCUGCCGGCGCGUCUGCAGGAACUGGCGCGACGCCAUAGACGGCCGCGGGCUGGUGCUCGAGCACCUCGCGCCGGGCCCUCUGCGCGGCAUCUUCGUCGACUUCUUCGACAACUUCUUCGACAACAGAAGGCACGGCUUCUUCUCCCGCGCCGCCACACCGCCGAUCGACGGUUCGCUCGGAUUCCUGCCGAACACAUCGCGGGCGUGGAGGGAGUGGAAUCGUCAUUGUAACAUCUCGGAUCACUGCAACGGCCUCAUCCUAUUCCGGAACGGAAGGGCCACGUACGUGUGCAACCCGUGGACACGGCGGUGGGCGAAGCUGCCGUGGCCGGCCGCAGGCUUCCCCCACGGUCGUGGGCACCUCGUGUUCGAUCCAACCUUGUCGCUGCACUACCGCGUGAUGUGCUUCCCCGGGGUGCCUAAAAGGCCAUCGCCACCCGUUUAUCCACCGCCUGCCAAGAAACCCCGCGGCAGAUAUUCGUUGGUGACCUGGACUAGUACUUAUGUUGAGAACCUGCCCUUGUCUCUAAGGGAGAGCUACGAACAAGAAGUGGAGAGCAUGGGCUCGAUGGAGUGGCCGCCGUACUCGUAUGCCGUGCAGAUGUUCUCGUCGGCAACCGGCCAAUGGGAGGACAGGCACUUUGUCAGACAAGGCGAUGCAGUGACUACCGUGUCUGGGAUGUGGUCCAAUCCGCUGGCUGACGGUGUGCAUGGGUGUCACACCGCCGUGUGCUGGCAAGGAGCAUUCUACAUCAUACGUUCUGGUGGAUUCAUCAUGAGGUUUUCAUUGUUGGAGGACAAGUAUGUAACGAUCAAAACACCAACAUUGGCACAAAAAUUAGCAUCACAUACUAACGACUACGGGUAUCGCAUUAGGCCAUGUCUGUAUUUGGGGAAAUCCAAGCAGGGACUCUACCUCACAGCUCACGAGGGAUAUGAACUUCGGAUAUGGAUAAUGCACGGCGUAUCAGAAUCAUGUCAUAUGCCGGAAUGGGAGCUGAAGCAUCAAGUUGACUUCAAGCCCUCCUUUUCACGGUUCUACACCUCAAAUAACACCAGAAAGGAGGUUGAAUCCUGGAUUUUAGACAUUUCGGAGGAAGGAUUAAACGACAGAGGAGACCAGGGAUGGGACUCUGAAGAUGAUAGCAUCAUUGACGCGGAGGGAGGGAUUGGUAACAACCUGCAGGGCGAGACAAAGAAAUGUUAUGGUGUUCACUUGUUGGGGUAUCAUCCUUGCAAGGAAAUUAUUUUCUUGGGAAACCGUUACAACGGGUUUGCUUACUACCUUGGAAGCUCGAAGUUGCAGUACUUGGGUAAACUUUACCCAGCAGGCGAUACUCUUCUCAUCAUGAUGUCAUAUAUCACCUCGUUUAUCUAUACUCCAUGCAAGGAUGAUUUGCUUCCUGCUCAAAAUGAUCGAUGA
rnacentral:rRNA from 1 species